rnacentral:rRNA from 1 species
AGAGUCUGAUUCUGGCUCAGAACGAACGCUGGCAGCGUGGAUUAGGCAUGCAAGUCGAACGGGAACCUGUGGAUUCAAGUUUUCGGACAAGAAUCCAUGGGGGAGAGUGGCGAAAGGGUGAGUAACGCGUGGGCAAUCUGCCCUCAAGUUUGGGACAACUCAGCGAAAGCUGGGCCAAUACCGGAUGUGGUUAUCCGUUGCAUGACGGGUGGACUAAAGUUGGGGACCCUUCGGGGCCUAACGCUUGGGGAGGAGCCCGCGUCCCAUCAGCUUGUUGGUGAGGUAACGGCUCACCAAGGCAUACGGGUAGCUGGUCUGAGAGGAUGGUCAGCCACACUGGGACUGAGACACUGCCCAGACUCCUACGGGAGGCUGCAGUCGAGGAUCAUUGGCAAUGCGCGAAAGCGUGACCAUGCGACGCUGCGUGGAGGAUGACGGCCUUCGGGUUGUAAACUCCUGUCAUUCGGGAAAAAUCGUCCGGUUCCCAAUACGGGCCGGGCUUGAUGGUACCGGAAGAGGAAGCCACGGCUAACUCUGUGCCAGCAGCCGCGGUAAUACAGAGGUGGCGAGCGUUGUUCGGAUUUACUGGGCGUAAAGAGUGCGUAGGUGGUUCCGUGUGUCGAAUGUGAAAGCCCACUGCCUAACAGUGGAAUUGCAUUCGAAACUGCGGUGCUAGAGUACAGGAGGGGAGAGCGGAAUUCUUGGUGUAGCGGUGAAAUGCGUUGAGAUCAAGAAGAACACCGGUGGCGAAGGCGGCUCUCUGGAAUGGUACUGACACUGAGGCACGAAAGCUGGGGGAGCGAACAGGAUUAGAUACCCUGGUAGUCCCAGCUGUAAACGGUGCGCACUUGGUGUGGGAGGUAUUGACCCCUUCCGUGCCGGAGCUAACGCGUUAAGUGCGCCGCCUGGGGAGUACGGCCGCAAGGCUAAAACUCAAAGAAAUUGACGGGGGCCCGCACAAGCGGAGGAGCAUGUGGCUUAAUUCGAUGCAACGCGAAGAACCUUACCAGGGCUUGACAUGCAGCUGCAAGCCCGGUGAAAGCCGGGCCGCCUUCGAGGGUGCUGCACAGGUGCUGCAUGGCUGUCGUCAGUUCGUGCCGUGAGGUGUUGGGUUAAGUCCCGCAACGAACGCAACCCUUGUGUCUAUUUGCCACUCCUGUUUUGCAGGAAGCACUCUAGACAGACUGCCCGUACAAGCGGGAGGAAGGUGGGGAUGACGUCAAGUCAGUAUGGCCCUUACGCCCUGGGCUGCACACGUGCUACAAUGGUCGGUACAGAAGGAUGCAAAACCGCGAGGUGGCGCCAAUCCUCAAAACCGGCCUCAGUUCUGAUUGGAGUCUGCAACUCGACUCCAUGAAGUUGGAUUCGCUAGUAACGGCGUAUCAGCUACGACGCCGUGAAUACGUUCCCGGGCCUUGUACACACCGCCCGUCACAUCAUGAAAGCCGUCUGCACCCGAAGUCACUGGACCAACUUGCAAGAGAGGUAGGUGCCGAAGGUGUGGGUGGUGAUUGGGAUGAAGUCGUAACAAGGUA